ACACACAGUCGAGAAAGUGAAACCUUUGUGUGCAAGGGCGAAUCGUGAACCAUUUCAGUGAAGAACAAUAGACAUUGAAGUCCCGAGACAUCCUACUACGCUGCAAAGCAACGUCCUCUAAGUCUCACAGUCUGGGUCUAUAGGUUUGGAUGCACAAAUGAAAAAAACAUUCUUGUACUGCUUGUCUUUGUAUUCGCUGAAAUAUUUGAGGAGUACAUCAGUUUCAGCUCACGUCUUAUCUCUUUGUUUGCUACGCUUUCUUCUUUUGUCAGCUACGCAGAAGUGCGGAAGAAAGCUUGGCGGCCUUGUGCCCGCUAGUAUCAAGUGUUCACAAUGGCAUAUCUGCCAAGACGUUCAAGAAACAGUCGCUCAAGAACAGGAUGACAGUAAGCAGGCUAAGCGUGUUACUGAUGCUUCUCAUAGCGUUCGAAAAAUUCGUGCACUCAUCACAGAAAAAUGACCAUCAAGAUGGACAUGAAAGAAGAAAGCGUUACCCAAUUCUGAAGUACUUUAAAGCAUCUGAAGACAAUGAAAACUUUGGGGGACAAGAAGGGGCAGACUGGUCCGGUAGCUCCGAGGAAAGCAGCGCCGAAAGCCGCUUGCCUGUCGAAGGCUUGUCCCAUAUAUUCAAUGAAAUAAAGAAAGUUCACCGAUAAAUUAAAAAAUAGGAAAAUU